UUGGUUUCUGUCCCUUCAAUUAUGAUCACAAUCCUCUUUUUCUUCUUCCUCUUUUUCUUGGUCAUCUGCUGACCUUGGUCUAUUGGGGUUUCUGUGUCAACAGGGGGAGAUGGGCCCACUGGGUCGAUUGAGGGUGCAUCUGUAUGGUAUAUAGAUUUCUGAACAGGGGCCUCAGGCGGAGCAGCUUCAGGCAGCUUGUAGUGUUCAUUGAGUUCUGCCGCUUCACUUUCAAGCUUACUCUUCCUUUUCUUCUUUUUCUUUGACAUCUCCUGUUCAGGGCCUGUUGAGAUUGCAAGGCAAGGGUCCAUUGGAAUUGCUGGGUCUAUUGGGGAUGCUUCUAUAAGGCAUGUAGAUGUCUGAAUUGAGAUUUCUGGCAGCUCUGUAGAAGUUGUCUUCUUCCUUUGCUUCUUCUUUAUCUUCUUCAUCGUCAGUUCUAGGUCUAUUGGGGUUGCUGGAUCCACCAGGAUUGUUUGGUCCAUCAAGGAUGCUGGUUGUAGGCUUAUUGGGGUUGCUUGGUCUUGUUGGACCUGGUCUGGGGCCUGGUUGAGGGUUAUGUCCAUAUGCAAUGGGCUCCCUUGGUUCUCCACCUCUUCUGAGCAUAUUAUUAUUGUUUCUUUUUCUCUCUUGCUUUUUUGUUUUCUUCUUCUCUGAUCAAUUGGAGUUGCUGGAUCACCCGGAGGCUCUGCACAUGGCGCAGAGCAAGGUUGAGGUUGAGGGGGUUGAGCACGUGCAUCAGGGUUUUGGACAGGUUCUACCUCUUUUUUCUUUUCUGAGUUUGUUGGAGCUGGCAGGUCUAUUGGGG
rnacentral:lncRNA from 1 species